rnacentral:rRNA from 1 species
AUUGAACGCUGGCGGCAUGCUUUACACAUGCAAGUCGAACGGUAACAGGUCUUCGGAUGCUGACGAGUGGCGAACGGGUGAGUAAUACAUCGGAACGUGCCUAGUAGUGGGGGAUAACUACUCGAAAGAGUAGCUAAUACCGCAUGAGAUCUACGGAUGAAAGCAGGGGACCUUCGGGCCUUGUGCUACUAGAGCGGCUGAUGGCAGAUUAGGUAGUUGGUGGGGUAAAGGCUUACCAAGCCUGCGAUCUGUAGCUGGUCUGAGAGGACGACCAGCCACACUGGGACUGAGACACGGCCCAGACUCCUACGGGAGGCAGCAGUGGGGAAUUUUGGACAAUGGGCGAAAGCCUGAUCCAGCAAUGCCGCGUGCAGGAUGAAGGCCCUCGGGUUGUAAACUGCUUUUGUACGGAACGAAAAGCCUGGGGCUAAUAUCCUCGGGUCAUGACGGUACCGUAAGAAUAAGCACCGGCUAACUACGUGCCAGCCGCCGCAGUAAUAC